AUGAGAGUUUGAUCCUGGCUCAGGACGAACGCUGGCGGCAUGCCUAAUACAUGCAAGUCGAACGAACCAUCCUGAAGAUUGAAGCUUGCUUCAUGAUUCAGACCUUGGUGAGUGGCGGACGGGUGAGUAACACGUGGGUAACCUGCCCAAAAGUGGGGGAUAACAUCUGGAAACAGGUGCUAAUACCGCAUAACAACUACUUUCUCAUGAUCGUAGCUUGAAAGAUGGCUCUGCUAUCGCUUUUGGAUGGACCCGCGGCGUAUUAGCUAGUUGGUGAGGUAAUAGCUCACCAAGGCAAUGAUACGUAGCCGACCUGAGAGGGUAAUCGGCCACAUUGGGACUGAGACACGGCCCAAACUCCUACGGGAGGCAGCAGUAGGGAAUCUUCCACAAUGGGCGAAAGCCUGAUGGAGCAAUGCCGCGUGAGUGAAGAAGGUUUUCGGAUCGUAAAACUCUGUUGUUGAAGAAGAACAUGCGUGAGAGUAACUGUUCACGUACUGACGGUAUUCAACCAGAAAGCCACGGCUAACUACGUGCCAGCAGCCGCGGUAAUACGUAGGUGGCAAGCGUUGUCCGGAUUUAUUGGGCGUAAAGAGAAUGUAGGCGGUUUAUUAAGUUUGAAGUGAAAGCCCUCGGCUCAACCGAGGAAGUGCUUCGAAAACUGGUAAACUUGAGUGCAGAAGAGGAAAGUGGAACUCCAUGUGUAGCGGUGGAAUGCGUAGAUAUAUGGAAGAACACCAGUGGCGAAGGCGGCUUUCUGGUCUGUAACUGACGCUGAGAUUCGAAAGCAUGGGUAGCAAACAGGAUUAGAUACCCUGGUAGUCCAUGCCGUAAACGAUGAGUGCUAAGUGUUGGAGGGUUUCCGCCCUUCAGUGCUGCAGCUAACGCAUUAAGCACUCCGCCUGGGGAGUACGAUCGCAAGAUUGAAACUCAAAGGAAUUGACGGGGGCCCGCACAAGCGGUGGAGCAUGUGGUUUAAUUCGAAGCAACGCGAAGAACCUUACCAGGUCUUGACAUACCAUGAAAAGCUAAGAGAUUAGUCUUUCCCUUCGGGGACAUGGAUACAGGUGGUGCAUGGUUGUCGUCAGCUCGUGUCGUGAGAUGUUGGGUUAAGUCCCGCAACGAGCGCAACCCUUAUUAUCAGUUGCCAGCAUUCAGUUGGGCACUCUGGUGAGACUGCCGGUGACAAACCGGAGGAAGGUGGGGACGACGUCAAAUCAUCAUGCCCCUUAUGACCUGGGCUACACACGUGCUACAAUGGUCGGUACAACGUGCUGCGAACUCGCGAGGGUAAGCAAAUCACUUAAAACCGAUCUCAGUUCGGAUUGUAGGCUGCAACUCGCCUACAUGAAGCUGGAAUCGCUAGUAAUCGCGGAUCAGCAUGCCGCGGUGAAUACGUUCCCGGGCCUUGUACACACCGCCCGUCACACCAUGAGAGUUUGUAACACCCAAAGUCGGUGGGGUAACCCUUCGGGGAACUAGCCGCCUAAGGUGGGACAAAUGAUUAGGGUGAAGUCGUAACAAGGUAGCCGUAGGAGAACCUGCGGCUGGAUCACCUCCUU
rnacentral:rRNA from 1 species